rnacentral:rRNA from 1 species
UACGGGGGAUGCAAGCGUUAUCCGGAUUUAUUGGGUUUAAAGGGUGCGUAGGCUGUGAGGUAAGUCAGCGGUGAAAUGCCCCCGCUCAACGGGGUGAGGUGCCAUUGAUACUGCCUUGCUGGAAUGCGGAUGCCGUGGGAGGAAUGUGUGGUGUAGCGGUGAAAUGCAUAGAUAUCACACAGAACACCGAUUGCGAAGGCAUCUCACGAAUCCGCGAUUGACGCUGAUGCACGAAAGCGUGGGUAUCAAACAGG